AAGCAACCAAAAACAGAUGUUGUGUGCGUGACCCUUACACUGUAACCUCUAUCUAUCUGACAUUCUUUGGCUCUUUGCUGAGAAAAUAAUUUUUCUCCAUAGACUAUCGUCUUUGGUAAACCAUAGCAUGUUAAAAUAAUUAAUAGUAGGUUAGGGAAAAAAAUUAAAAUAAGAAAUAAAAAAUAAACAACUGGGAUUUUGUUGAGGGAGACCCUAAGCUUAGAACUGAAGCUUUUUUGCUGGCUUGUUUCUCUCUCAUUCCAUUUUCAUUGCUGCAAGUCUCUAUACUUGUGC
rnacentral:lncRNA from 1 species